rnacentral:rRNA from 1 species
CUUGCUUUCUUUGCUGGCGACCGGCGCACGGGUGAGUAACACGUAUCCAACCCGCCCUUUACUCGGGGAUAGCCUUUCGAAAGAAAGAUUAAUACCCGAUAGUAUAAUGAUUCCGCAUGGUUUCAUUAUUAAAGGAUUCCGGUAAAGGAUGGGGAUGCGUUCCAUUAGGUUGUUGGUGAGGUAACGGCUCACCAAGCCUUCGAUGGAUAGGGGUUCUGAGAGGAAGGUCCCCCACAUUGGAACUGAGACACGGUCCAA